rnacentral:rRNA from 1 species
GUUUUUCGCUUCAAGAUAAGCCUGCGUCAGAUUAGCUAGUCGGUGAGGUAACGGCUCACCAAGGCAACGAUCUGUAACUGGUCUGAGAGGAUGAUCAGUCACACUGGAACCGAGACACGGUCCAGACCCCUACGGGAGGCAGCAGUAGGGAAUAUUGCACAAUGGAGGAAACUCUGAUGCAGCGACGCCGCGUGAGCGAUGAAGGAUUUCGGUCUGUAAAGCUCUGUCGUAAGGGGAUAAAAAAAUG